GAAGUGCUGGGAUUACAGGCAUGAGCCACCGCACCUGGGCACCUCCUAUAAUUCUUGAAUGGGGCAUAUGUGAUGGUGAUAACAAAAAAUCACUGUGCUAGCCGGACAAACACUGUAUGUUGAGUACAAAGGUUAGAGUUGGUAUAGGAAGAGACCUAUGGGAGAGAUUUUUAAUUUAUGAGUCUCCUGAGUUAGACUAGGUUAAGAUAUUUAAAAAACCAGUGCUUAGUGGGAAGUGACAGGGCCAGCCCAUUUCACCCCCUCCUAACCUGGUAUGUCUCAAAAUAAGAAUGAAGGAGGGUUUUUUGUGCGGUACCUCAAGGUCAGGGAAAGAUUCAUUUAGGCUGAGCAUGGUGGCUUAUGCCUGUAAUCCCAAUGCUAUGGGCUGAAAAAGAAGGAUUACUUGAGGCAGGAGUUUGAGACAAGCCUGGACAAUACAACAAGACCCCACCUCUACAGACAAUUUCUUAUAAAAUUAGCCAUGCAUGGUGGCAUGUGCCUGUAGCCCUAGCUACUUGAGAGGCUGAGGCAGGAGCAUCGUUUGAGCCUAGGAGUUAAGGUUUAUAAUAAGCUAUGAUUGUGCCACUGCACUCCAGCCUGGGCAACAGAGUGAGACCCUGUCUUAAUAAAAGAUUCAGAGAGUCUUUUACCAUUAUAAAGCAAAUGUAGGCUGUACAUGCCAGAUUCCUUUUGUAGAUAUCCUGCCUGAAGAUUCUGAUAGCUUCCUACUCAUUAUGCUAAACUUGAUGAAGCAGGUUAGCACCAAUGCCUGUAUUAGAUACAAGAGAAUACAGCCAAGGUAUGUGAUUUCCUAAGGGACCCUGUCAGCUGAAGCAGUUCCCCGCUCCACCCAAGUUGGUUCUCCAUCAGAAUACCUUGGAAGUGGAGAGCUAAUGUCUUUACUCUUGGCCUUCUACACAGCAGGGGCUAUAUUAAAAUCUAACUACCUUUUGAGUUCAUAGGAAGGCAGGGAACUGCCCUUCAGGAAACAGCCUCCCCACCAUUGGUUCUUCUAAUUUACUGGUCAUUCCUUCUCAACUUCAUCUGCAGGCCUCUUUUUUGUCCAGUCUUGCAGAGAUUGCUGUUGGUCUACUCAAUACCCAUUCUCUCCUUCAUUUUUAGUAACAGAACUUUGGUUCUUUUCAGGGAAAAAUGUACCUGUAAGAGAUUACAUUGUCCAACUUCCAUAGACGUGAUUAAUGGGUCAAGUGGAAGUCAGUUGGGUGGGACUUCUGGGAAAUCUUCUGGAGACCUGACUUAGAUAGGAGGACUGCCCUUUUGCCCUUUGCUUUUCCUUUUCCUGCCUAGAACCGGGAUGGAGUGGCUGAAGCUCCACUGGCAGCCAACUGGGGUUUUUGGCACCACUGAGGAUGGAAGCCACACACCUGAGGAUGGCAGAACACAAGGACAGAAGGACCUGGCACACUGGGGAAGUGAUGAAGCUGCCAUGCUGACUCAGACUUCUUUAACAAUUUAAGAAUUGCCCUUCUUAUUUAAACUAUUGUCAUUUCAAUUUCUGUAAUAUGCAGCUGAUACUAAUUUUUUUGUUUUUUUGGUUUUUUUUUUUUUGAGAUGGAGUCUCACUCUGUCACCCAGGCUGGAGUACAGUGGCACGAUCUCGGCUCACUGCAACCUCCACCUCCCAGGUUCAAGCAAUUCUCUGCCUCAGCCUCCUGAGUAGCUGGGAUUACAGACGCCCACCACCACACCCGGCUAAUUUUUGUAUUUUUAGUAAAGAGGGGGUUUCACCAUCUUGGCCAGGCUGGUCUUGAACUCCUGACCUCAUGAUCCACCCACCUCGGCCUCCCAAAGUGCUGGGAUUACAGGCGUGAACUACCACUCCCGGCCACUAAUUCUGAUACACUCACUCCUUAUGUAAUAGUGACUCAUAAAGUUAUGCCUUC
rnacentral:lncRNA from 1 species